GGGGUUGUAGCUCAGUGGUAGAGCGCUCGCUUUGCAUGCGAGAGGCCCGGAGUUCAAACCUCCGCUGCUCCA
rfam:Lobosporangium transversale strain NRRL 3116 BCR41scaffold_22, whole genome shotgun sequence.